UGCCUGGAACGUCCCUGACUGAACGA
rnacentral:piRNA from 1 species